GCAUAUCAAUAAGCGGAGGAAAAGAAACCAACCGGGAUUACCUCAGUAACGGCGAGUGAAGCGGUAACAGCUCAAAUUUGAAAUCUGGCUCCUACGGAGUCCGAGUUGUAAUUUGUAGAAGAUGCUUUGGGUUGUGGGUUCGGCCUAAGUUCCUUGGAACAGGACGUCAUAGAGGGUGAGAAUCCCGUAUGUGGCCGAGGCCCGCGCCUAUGUAAAGCUCUUUCAACGAGUCGAGUUGUUUGGGAAUGCAGCUCAAAAUGGGUGGUAAAUUUCAUCUAAAGCUAAAUAUGGGCCAGAGACCGAUAGCGCACAAGUAGAGUGAUCGAAAGAUGAAAAGCACUUUGGAAAGAGAGUUAAACAGUACGUGAAAUUGUUGAAAGGGAAGCGCUUGCAACCAGACUUGGGCGCUGCCGAUCACCCCGAGUUCUCUCGGGUGCACUCGACAGCGCACAGGCCAGCAUCGGUUCGGGUGGCUGGAUAAAGGCCGUAGGAACGUGGCUCCCUUCGGGGAGUGUUAUAGCCUACGGUGCCAUGCAGCCCAGCCGGACCGAGGACCGCGCCUUCGGGCUAGGAUGCUGGCGUAAUGGUUGUAAGCGACCCGUCUUGAAACACGGACC
rnacentral:rRNA from 1 species